GAUUGAUCUUUUCCUACAUCAACUGAAAGGAACAAGGCGACUGGGAAGUCCUGGGCUACAUAUCCUUCCUUUCCUUGAUAUUCCUUCCAAAAUCUGAGGAAGAUGCCCUGGUUCUCGUCAAAUGCAAGUUGCACUACUGUCAAAGUGUACUCUAUUUUGCAGUGUCAUAACUUAGUGAAAGCAAGUGUGCUCUUGUCUAUGGGCAAAUGAAUGAGCCCCCGUGUGGCCGUGCUCGUGUAGACCUGACUGGUUUGACUGUUGCUGGACAUUUUUGUGAUGCCAAAGGAUAAGAUGUGCUUGUCUAUUGAUUUUCCAUUUCACCCAGGCGAACUCUGACGUGUAUGCUUUUUUAUUCGGAUCAUAUAGUAUCAGAUGGCCUCCCAAGAAGACAUUAGCUAUUAUGAGGUGUUAAAGAUAGUAAGAUCUGCUUGACAAGCAAGGAAAAAGCUUAUAGGUUAAACAAUGUGUUCAAGUGUUGAUCCCUAUAUAUUGACCUAGGAAGUGAAGAUUGAACUAUAUGAAGUGGUCAUGGCAUUGGUUUGCUCCACCAAAUAUUCCCAAUAUGGCUGCCACACACAACCAAGUUAUGUACAACUACAGGAGGGUGUGAUUGGCUAUGUUGAUGUGCUUGUUUUUCCUAUAUGCAGUUCCUACUGUACAGAAAGCAAAAGAAGCUGCUUUGUGGCGUAUGAUGCAGACUAUGAGACCAAAGCUACACCUCCCAUGAGAAAGCAUAUCAAGCUUGUCUAGAACACUAAGGAAAGUUCUGUUCAUGGUGAAAAUG